UCAAGGUGCGAAACCGUUCAGCCGCGGGUGGUGUUACUUGUUUCAAGGGAGAUGGCAUGGCUACAAGGCUCAUGACCGGAGCGGCGUUAGUGCUACGCCGUUGUUGUAUCCGUAUCGACACCGCCAGUGAUGCCGAUGAAGUUUUAAAAACAGGAGCCAGGCCAUAUGGACUGAGUAAAAGGAACGUGCAAGAGUGAAGUGCAAAUGUGCAAUACAUCACUCGAGCUUAUGCUGGCUGUAUUAAGAUGAUAUGUGAUGCAGUGAUUUACCAAGUAAACUGAAAUUUCAAAAAAUAACAUCACCAAGAAAAAAAAAUAUAAAUGAGAUAGUACCUCGUACAAUUUGUUGGUCUUCA